GAAAAUCGUAAGAUUCCGUGUUUCGGCCGAUUUGUAGAAAGGUCCUUUCAAAAGCAGGUUUACUGAAGUACUUUUUGGAAUCAAAGUCUAAAUAACAAUGAACAAAACAAAGUUUAUUAAAAAUUACAACGUAAAGUAACAUUAACUUUAACUGACGAAAACAAGAAAUACAUGCAACCUCUCUACCAUCAGAGAAACAGAGAAAACAUAGACGGUGGUGGUCUUAAAGCCAUGUAAUUAAGAGUUUAAAAAAGAAUUUGUAAGGUAUGCAGUUUGAUGAAUUUCAUUCAUGAAUGGGAGCUACUGUGUGAACUGUGCACUAGAAUAGCAUCGCUUUAGAGAUCGGAUUAUUUCAAGGUAUAAACCAUGGUGAUGGAAGCAAAAUCGGAAUAUACUGAACAACGAAAAAUAGAUCAUCAUAGAAAAGUUUAAAAUGUAACGUCACAAGAAAAUAAAAACGUACUUCUUAUCAAAUGUGAUAAGAGCUGUUUUUCUGAAGUGACAAUAAAUUUUACACAUGUAUAAUUAUCAAUGUCUUACAGUUUAAAUUCUUCACACUCAAUUGAAGCCACUGUAACCAGCAAUCCUGGAGCAAGUAGUGAUCAAGAAAAAGAUCAUCUCAUUUGGUCAAAAAUUGAAAAAGUCAUGAUAACUUUAAUGAAGGGUAAAGUCCUACGACGUACAAGUUCUCCAACUAGUUCUAGAUUCAUAGAGUCUGCAAGUACUUCAGCUAGUGUCGAAAUGUUCAUCUCCAGCCAGUCCCAAGCUCAGGAAAGGAAAGAAGGCUGUGUGUCAGGCCAGCAACACUACUUAUUGUUAGUGUAAAAAACCCUGCCUUUAGUGCAAAGAAACAUGCGAACUAAUCAAUCCCAAUAUUUUAGAUCUUGGAGGAAGGAAAACAAAAUUUACUGAUGAGUUGACUGCGGAGCAGAAUGUUAGAAUUCUAAAACAAUCUGGAAAGAUGGUAGAAGUUGCCAAUAAAAUGUAAAAGUAUAAGGGAGACAUAAUGAUAAUGCAGGAAAAACACUUUAGGUGAAGAAAGAAUCUACAAGGCAUAUUUCAGCUUGAAAUACACAGUGGACCAGCCUAGUGCUAAUAUAGGAAAGACUCCUAGUGCUAAUACAGGAAAGACGCUACCGAGAUGAGGAAUGAAUCCUAUAAACUUCAUUUUAGCUGAAUAUAAAAAGUAGACCAGCCAAAAGUACAGGGCACUUGAGAACAGUUUUCGUUAUGUCCUAAGAGGCAAGAGAGAGUCUUCGAACACAAGAACAUCCAUGAAAGAAUUUGCAUAGUUAGGCUAAGAGGCUAAUUUCAAAAUAAAAAAAUACUUGUUGCAAAACUUGGUAAAGAGAUUGUUAAUGGCACAUUUAAUUGGGGUUGGUGAUGAAUUUUCCCUUAGAGUUGAGUUUUUCGAUUUGCUCAUUUUCUCUUUGAAAAAUUAUUUAAGGAUUUACUUAUCGUGAAAUCUGAGUCUGUCUUUCCAUUUCCACUAAUGAUGAGAUCCGUUAGCUUACUUCCUUUUGGUGAUUUGAUAUCCGUUUCCCACAAUUUUACUAUGCUACCUCACUUUUCCCCUACUUUUUUUCUCUUUAUCUUUCUCCUAUCUUUUUGAAUGGUGGUCAUUUGUUUUCUACUUUUUGGUACAUAUUUUUUAAUGGGCUUGCCAUAAAAUUUUAAAACAAAAUAAAAUUAAAGAAGAUACAGAAGGGCUGCAAUGCUUCUGGGAAGCAUAACAAAACAUGCAUUACAGCAAAUCAAUACGGCAUGUGAAUCUAAAAGGUGACUUAACUGCUAAAACUGGAAAAGAGGAGGACCAAUAUCAGGCAACGGAAAUUUGCACAUUACACAACAAAAAAGGAAACAUGUUGGUUCAUUUUGCAGAUGGAAAUAAAUUAUUCAACAGAAGCACACCAUUCCUCCAUUAGAAAAUCCAUCUCAAACCCUAGAUGAUGUCAAGCAUGAGUGAAAGGAACCAAAUUUAACAUUCUUGCGGCUUUAAGCAAGCUGUUUAGACAUGCCUCAACUACCACAAUGCUGUGAUGAAAUCGUUCUUAACAUUCCCUUCAAGGUUAAGUUAGUUCCAUGAUGUUAGGAUGACAUAAAAAUAUUCUGAGAGAACGAAUUUUGAC
rnacentral:lncRNA from 1 species